UGCGGGGUCGUCUAAUGGCAAGACGUCCGGCUCUGGACCGGGAAAUUGGGGUUCGAGUCCCUGCCCCGCAA
rnacentral:tRNA from 1 species